UAGCUCAGUUGGUAGAGUACUUGCCUAGCAUGCAAGAAAGUCUGGGUUCAAAUCCCAA
rnacentral:tRNA from 1 species